rnacentral:misc_RNA from 1 species
CAACCCUCAAGCCCUGCUUGGUGUUGGGGUCCUACGGCUCUCCCGCCGUAGGCCCCUAAAUAUAGUGGCGGGCUCGCUAAAGUCCUGAGCGCAGUAGCACAUCUCGCUUGUGGUAUUUAGUGGGUGCCGGCCGUUAAACCCCCAAUUUUUAGAA